UGGGGAAUAUUGCACAAUGGGCGCAAGCCUGAUGCAGCGACGCCGCGUGGGGGAUGAAGGCCUUCGGGUUGUAAACUCCUUUCGCUAGGGACGAAGCAUUAUGUGACGGUACCUGGAGAAGAAGCACCGGCUAACUACGUGCCAGCAGCCGCGGUAAUACGUAGGGUGCGAGCGUUGUCCGGAAUUACUGGGCGUAAAGGGCUCGUAGGUGGUUUGUCGCGUCGUCUGUGAAAUUCCGGGGCUUAACUCCGGGCGUGCAGGCGAUACGGGCAUAACUUGAGUACUGUAGGGGUAACUGGAAUUCCUGGUGUAGCGGUGAAAUGCGCAGAUAUCAGGAGGAACACCGAUGGCGAAGGCAGGUUACUGGGCAGUUACUGACGCUGAGGAGCGAAAGCAUGGGUAGCGAACAGGAUUAGAUACCC
rnacentral:rRNA from 1 species